UUCCUGUUUAAACAAAACAGAAAACACCCCCACCCUUUUUCCUUUUCACCUAGGGUUUUCAAAACCCCCUUUUGCCGUCGUCAUCAUGGCUCUCUGAAGCCGCUGAGUUCUCCAUCGGCGACGGUGGUCAAAGCCAUCAAGAUCCAGAGUAGUUGAUGGCGGUGGAAUGGGGGUCGACAGAGAUGAUGGGACAGAGGCGGCGGCUGGUGGAGAUGCACAGACAACUUCAAUUCUAUAGAAAACUAUAUCCACUUCAUGCCAAGGAAUUACAGUGAUCACAAUUGCACACUACAUUUCAAUAGUUUGAAUAUGGAUAGCGUAUUUGUUCUCAAUCAAGGAACCCUAGUGUGUUUUCUAUAUCCCCUCCAGCAUUACUUGCAAAACAUAGUCCGGCAUCUACUCGAUAUCAGAUUCAAUUUUAUAUUUGGAUUUUUUUAGAAA